rnacentral:rRNA from 1 species
ACUGCGUACAGCUCAUUAUAUCAGUUAUUAUUUAUUUGAUGGUACCUUACUACAUGGAUACCCGUAGUAAUUCUAGAGCUAAUACAUGCGUAUAAGUCCCGACUUUUUGGAAGGGAUGUAUUUAUUAAAUUAAAAACCAAUGCAGGCAACUGCUCCUUUGGUGAUUCAUAGUAACUUUAACGGAUCGCACGGCUUCACGUCGGCGACAGUUCAUUCAAAUUUCUGCCCUAUCAUCUUUCGACGGUACUGUAGUGGACUACCGUGGCAUUAACG